UACUGAUAUAUCAAGUGCAACCAUUCAGUAGAAAGGCAGUUGUGUGCGUAGACUGUGUAUGGACAGCACUGAACAAAUAAACUCUAAGGUGAUCGCGGGCUGGUGGACAGAUUUCGUGUCGAGGACACCAGAGUGAGCUGUGAAUCAACACUGCGAGUGACCACAAAAUCAGCCAAACAGUGGAACGAGCGGACAUUUUGAACGAAACGCUGAGUGGCUCAGUCGUCAGCAGUACACCAUAGUGACUACACCGUGUGCCACAGGGCAAAACUUUUCUCUUCGUUACAACACACAGAUCGGUUCUGGGGCCCACCCAGGCCUUUGUACAGUGAGCACCAGGGUUCCUUCCUCGGAGUUAAAACGCUGCUGGGACUAGCCACUCAACUGUUUGUAAUGCUGAGGUUAAGAACGAGUGGAGGUUUACCUCCAAUCCUCCAUACUUCUGUGUUGUAGUGUUCAGUUAAGCACCGGGGACAAUUUCACACCAUUCUUAAAAAAAAGGAUUUUUUUCUGAUACAGACAGUUUUCCGUCUAAUUCAGACACAUUCAUAUUGUUUAAUUUUGAAGCACGAAGACUGUCGCCUGUUCGGCAAGCGCGAAACGUCUAAAUGUAUCGCCAACGCCUACAGUGAAUUUGAACCUAUAAAUCAGAUUUUCUUUCGUCCAAAUUGGGCUGCCCUGUCACUUGAGCCGCCGUUGCACUUACAUCAGUGGUUAUAUUACUGCAUCUCUGGGAACUCUGAAUAAUAAUCCGACCCCAACUUUACUCUCCCGCGCCUACAAGUUUGUUCUCGCCGAUAUGCACCUCCAGCCACCCACAUCGUGAGGUUUGCAUCUGUCUCUUCUCUCGCGGCGAUAAACAUCAUUACUACCUCAACAGCGACUAGUCACAGCAAACACUCGUUUGGCCCCUGUACCCCUUCUGAUCAAUGAUUUUCAGGGCCGCUCCAAAUGAACCACGAGCUUAAUCAAAAAUUCUUAGUAGUACGAAGUCCCCAUGAAUUACAAAGUUUUCUUUCUCUAACACCAGACUGAACGUUGCGCGAUAGUUGUCGGCAUCCUUCUUCGUAUUCGGGAGAUACCGGAUUUGAUUACUCGACCCAGUGACUAGCCAUCCUGACUGGAAUUUGCAGUAGUUUCCCUGGGUCACAGAGGAAACUGCUGGGUAGAACAUGAACCACGACAACAUCCAUCAAUAUCUUUUAUAAUUUAUUAUUCAAAAUCCGCGGUAAAGAUUUCUCUGCAGAUAAGGGACAGAACCUGUCCACUUGCUUUUAUCAAGUAUCCAGUAUAAGAAUACAUGGAGCUUUACCUCACAUUCUCCGUACAUUCCUGAAGAUGGAAGUAGUAUGUUUCAGUUCUUAAAGACGGUUUUUAUUUAAUUGACUGCCCUCAAACAAAGAAAAAUUAUAAAUGGCCCUUAAAUUAGCUGAUGUGUUAAAUCCAGUCGUACAGCGUUUAAAGGACGCGGAGACAUGUUCAGAAUUCCUUCUAACGCCAAAAACAAACCAAGAAGUGAAAAGAUAUGUAACUUCAGUCUUAAGCAGCUUGUGACUACAAGAUAAACCACCUUUCACCCACUAGCACCGCAGUCGGUAACCAGCCACGAUCCAAUACAGUACAGUACAUCUCCGAUCUCUCAUAAACCUGAUACGAUAUUACUUCUUGGUCCAUAUACAAAACAUUGACAUCAAUACGAAAUACGAAAUACAAACAUAUU